rnacentral:tRNA from 1 species
GAUAGAAUGGCUGAGAUUUUAGGUAAUAGAUUGUAAAUCUAUCAAGGAGAAUAUUCUCUUCUAUCA